AUUGAACGCUGGCGGCAGGCCUAACACAUGCAAGUCGAACGGUAGCACAGAGGAGCUUGCUCCUUGGGUGACGAGUGGCGGACGGGUGAGUAAUGUCUGGGAAACUGCCCGAUGGAGGGGGAUAACUACUGGAAACGGUAGCUAAUACCGCAUAACGUCGUAAGACCAAAGAGGGGGACCUUCGGGCCUCUUGCCAUCGGAUGUGCCCAGAUGGGAUUAGCUAGUAGGUGGGGUAACGGCUCACCUAGGCGACGAUCCCUAGCUGGUCUGAGAGGAUGACCAGCCACACUGGAACUGAGACACGGUCCAGACUCCUACGGGAGGCAGCAGUGGGGAAUAUUGCACAAUGGGCGCAAGCCUGAUGCAGCCAUGCCGCGUGUACGAAGAAGGCCUUCGGGUUGUAAAGUACUUUCAGCGAGGAGGAAGGCGUUGUGGUUAAUAACCGCAACGAUUGACGUUACUCGCAGAAGAAGCACCGGCUAACUCCGUGCCAGCAGCCGCGGUAAAAGGG
rnacentral:rRNA from 1 species